GGGUGACGUCAGCGAAGGGGGCGGGCCGUCUCGCUAGUUCUCGGCGGAGGGGAAAGUCCGGGCUGUUUCAGUGGAACCCGGGAAUGGGAGGCGCCUUAGCGUCCCCGCGGGCCUCAGCCUUGUGAAUCCUGCCUCCCCGACCUCCCCGAGGCUAGGGGUGUUCCGGCCUUUCCUGCUUAGGGGUCAGAGGUUAACAUGGAGUGUUUCUCAAUCGGUCUCCACCUUACAUUUUGAGACAUGACGUGUCACUGAACCUGGAGCUCACGGAUUCAACUAGACGGGGUAACCAGCAAGCCGUAGAGCUCCUCCCAUCUCUGCCUCCACAGCGAUGGGAUUCUACGCAUUUAGCACCAUGCCCAGGUAUGUGUGCCUGAGUUGCAAGUGCCCACUGAGUCCAGAAGAAAGUGUUGGCUCCCCUGGAACUGAAGUCGCAUGUGGUUGUGAGUCACCUGAUGUGGUUCUGAGAACUGUACUCAGGUCCUCUGCAACAGCAGCAAGGACUCUUAACUGCUAAGCUAUUUCUCCAGCCCAUUAUAUGUGUUUUGGACCCUGAAAUACAUCACAGUGACUUUUGUUUAGAUAACCAACUAUCUUCUUAAGAUAGUUACACAAAUAAAAGAUAUUUUGAAAAUU